AAUUGCUAAAUUUCAGGCUUUUUUGUUGUUGUUUAUGUAAGAAUUUCAAGGCCACAACUCCAUAUUUGAAGUAAAGUGCUCAUAAAAUUAAUUGCAAGGUUUUGAGAAGCCAUCUGCAGCUCACAACUAGAUGAGUGACACAAUCAGAUGUGCGUAUGCAAAAAAAAGCCUGGAGACAUUGAACUAAGAUCAAAUUUAAUGUAUUAAAUAUGGUAGAAAGAAGAGAGAAUGAAAAAUAAUGUUAACAAUCUAGGUGAGGAAUUGCUGAGGAGACAAAUUAAGUAAAUCCUGUGGAAGGAAAGAAGAAAGGAGGAAAGAGGAUUGGAUGGAAGAAUCUCCACUUCUCAUAGGUGUAGUCCUUCCUUAGCCUGCUUUUUAAUGAGUGCUGCUAAAGCCCUUAGCCUGCCUGUUUACCCUUGGAGUGGAGCAAUGAACUGAAGAUAUUUGAGUGAGUUCAAGAGAGACUCAGAAGAGAAGAAUUGGAGGCAGCAAACAUAGACAGCACUUUUAAUGCUUUUCUCAUAUGCUGUAAGACAUGAAAGCAAUCUAUUGGGAUGAAAGCUGAAAGGAGAAGCGGGACAAGAGAAGUGAAUCCGUGGAAGACCCCCAAAAGAGGCUGCAGAUUCUUAGUGGACAGCUCUCAUAUCCCCUCCAGGGAAAAUGAUGAAAAAUGUCUUCAGAAAAAUAGCUUUAUGAAGGCAAGAGGACUUUUUGCACCUGCAAGACAUGUCUGAAAGCUCCUCAGGUCAAAACACAAGUAGUCAAGAGAUUUGUCCAUCUAAUUCAUCAUACUACUCUGAUCCAAGUGAGACCCACACUGGGUCAGCUCCAUCAAGGAGAAGAACAUUCCACCCACGUUUGGAUUCUGGAAUAUCAUCCUUGCUUCCAUCAGAUUCUUGUAAGUACCUCACUUGGCACAAGGUAGACAUGACGUUCAAGGAAGUCAACUGCGUUGCCCAAGAGUAAGAGAAGGAAUCUCUGAAGAAGAGCAACUUUUCAGACAGGUAGAGUGUGCCUUGCUCCCAAGGAAAAGAGUUCUUGAAAAAAACAAAUGGGAAACAUGGCUACAAGAAAACUGGGAAGACUGCAAGAGUAUUCUCCUGUUUGCCAAACUUAAAAAUGCUGGAUGGAAUCUUGAAGCUACCAGAAGAUUGCUUAUCACCAGAAACCAAUAUUUUUUCAAAAAUAUGCCUUGUAUCCUAAUGCAGUCUGUAUAGAAAGAAAGCAAUCAUCAUUGUUGCUAAAAGCUAAUAAACACAGGACAUGCAUGAUUAAA
ensembl:lncRNA LRRC77P leucine rich repeat containing 77, pseudogene